GUUGCGUAGAAAUGUGGAUUCGUCGAGUGGAUCUCCAUGAAAGCAGGUUUGCAGAUACUCAGAUAGGGAAUUAUGCACACACACGCACACUUGGACCUCAAGAGGAAGUUGUUUGCAUUGCAAUUCAAAUGGAUCUUGUUCAGCUUAGUAUUUGGAUUAUCAUUAUCAUUUACCACUGAAUUUUUUUUUAUUUCACAAAUUUCAUCAGCGUGUGUACUGAAGAUUUUCUCUUUUUGUUCAUACGUUCACAAAAGUACAGCUUAGCCUUGCAUGACACACAGAUUAUUGGAUUAGACAUAAACUGAAUUUAUUAUACUUGUCUCGGGCUCCUACCAUUUGACCAAUUACUUGCAGCUUCCUUGUUCUCAUAUUCUUAUUUUUCAAGUGUAUCCUGGGGAGUGACAUUCUCCCCUUCUAAAGAUCCAUGUUUAUUACUUGAUUGGGUUGCAUUGAAAUAAUUAUUAUGCAGUUCUUACUUCUUAGACACAGAAUAUAUUAUUUAAAUUCAAUUGGUGCAUUUUAGUAACUUGUGCAAAUUAUUUUAGGGGUCCAUGCGGUUAUCUUAUGAUCGUUGUUGUUGUAAGUGGCUUUGUGAGAAAAUAUAUAUAUAUAUAAUAGGGGCGCUGUUAUUUUCCUGCCCUAAACGCUUCUUGAGGGUGUUUGCUUGUUUGCUACAGAUUAAAUAUUUGGAUAGCUUCAAACAUUUUGUAUGCUUACUACAUUGUUUGCAGAUAUAUGUGGUGAGGACUGAUGGUUGUGGGACAACGCGCGAUAGUGCAACCA